AUACGGAGGGUGCAAGCGUUGUUCGGAAUUACUGGGCGUAAAGCGCGCGUAGGUGGUCUGUUAUGUCAGAUGAGAAAGUCCACGGCUCAACCGUGGAAGUGCAUUUGAAACUGGCAGACUUGAGUACUGGAGGGGGUAGUGGAAUUCCCGGUGUAGAGGUGAAAUUCGUAGAUAUCGGGAGGAAUACCGGUGGCGAAGGCGACUACCUGGCCAGAUACUGACACUGAGGUGCGAAAGCGUGGGGAGCGAACAGGAUUAGAAACCCUAGUAGUCC
rnacentral:rRNA from 1 species